ACCAGGACUAAACCAGGACUAAACCAGGACUAAAUCAGGACUAAACCAGGUCUAAACCAGGUCUAAACCAGGACUAAACCAGGUCUAAACCAGGUCUAAACCAGGACUAAACCAGGACUAAACCAGGUCUAAACCAGGACUAAAUCAGGACUAAACCAGGUCUAAACCAGGUCUAAACCAGGACUAAACCAGAUCUAAACCAGGACUAAACCAGGACUAAACCAGGUCUAAACCCGGACUAAACCAGGACUAAAUCAGGACUAAACCAGGACUAAACCAGGUCUUAACCAGGACUAAACCAGGACUAAACCAGGACUAAACCAGGACUAAACCAGGACUAAACCAGGUCUAAACCAGGACUAAAUCAGGACUAAACCAGGACUAAACCAGGACUAAACCAGGACUAAACCAGGACUAAACCAGGACUAAAUCAGGACUAAACCAGGUCUAAACCAGGACUAAACCAGGUCUAAACCAGGUCUAAACCAGGACUAAACCAGGACUAAACCAGGUCUAAACCAGGUCUAAACCAGGACUAAACCAGGACUAAACCAGGACUAAACCAGGACUAAACCAGGACUAAACCAGGUCUAAACCAGGACUAAAUCAG
ensembl:lncRNA